AGUGAACGCUGGCGGUAGGCCUAAUACAUGCAAGUCGAACGGCAGCACAGUAAGAGCUUGCUCUUACGGGUGGCGAGUGGCGGACGGGUGAGGAAUACAUCGGAAUCUACUUUUUCGUGGGGGAUAACGUAGGGAAACUUACGCUAAUACCGCAUACGACCUACGGGUGAAAGCAGGGGAUCUUCGGACCUUGCGCGAUUGAAUGAGCCGAUGUCGGAUUAGCUAGUUGGCGGGGUAAAGGCCCACCAAGGCGACGAUCCGUAGCUGGUCUGAGAGGAUGAUCAGCCACACUGGAACUGAGACACGGUCCAGACUCCUACGGGAGGCAGCAGUGGGGAAUAUUGGACAAUGGGCGCAAGCCUGAUCCAGCCAUACCGCGUGGGUGAAGAAGGCCUUCGGGUUGUAAAGCCCUUUUGUUGGGAAAGAAAAGCAGCAGGUUAAUACCCCGCUGUUCUGACGGUACCCAAAGAAUAAGCAUCGGCUAACUUCGUG
rnacentral:rRNA from 1 species